AUGAUACCUCAUCCUGAUGGAAACGUAACUAACUUCACUGGGAAUCGCAUCUGGGAAGUUUUUUCACCUGGGCAAAUGAUGGAGGGUGAUGUAAUUGACUUCCUCAUUGAUGAUUGGAAGCAAGAUCCUGAUAGAAAUGCUGAUUUUGCAUCUGGGAAAAGGAUAUUGCUGAGUCCAUAUUUCAUCACGGUUGUGCUUGACUGUUCGUUUUACGAGGAUGAAAAUAAAGUGUUUAAUGUGGAGAGUGUAGCGAGAGAUUUCAAUAGCUAUGUUAAAGCUAAUGAAGACUUGCUUAGUGCCGACCUUAUCACGAUGCCUCUAUUCAAGCCUAUGGUUUUAUCAAAGGAUAGGAAAGUGAGCCACUAUUCCUUAUAUGUCAUGAAUCGGUACCAAAGUAGCGUUGACAUCCUUGACUCUUUACCUUAUCCGAAGAACCACCGUCCUUCGAAGAACACCUAUCACAAAGACUGCGAGAAGAUUCCACGCAUUGUUGAUUCGAACGCUGAGGAUCUGUAUAGAGUUGUGUUCAACCGUAAUAACCAUCUUAUGGUGACGGAGCUUCCCAAGGAGGUUCAGGCUUUAGCUCCUGAUGCAUAG
rnacentral:rRNA from 1 species